UUUUGCCCUCUUUUAGGAUAAAA
rnacentral:snRNA from 1 species